UGCCAGCAUGUCAGUGAAUAGCCUGAUUAUC
rnacentral:piRNA from 1 species